UCCGAGCCACAUUGGUUUCGUGUAUUCACGACUACAAGGUAAUUUUUUUUCUUCUAUGUAUUUUUCGUUGUCUUCUACUUUUUUUUUUUUUUUUUUUAAGUUCAAGCAAGAAGGAUAUGUUCUUGUUUAAUGAGAUAAUUCAUGCAUGAAGAAGACAAUCUUAGGGAUGAAGAAUAUUUGGAGAGAUUACUCUCAAUGUGGUCCGAUUAUUGGAGAGAUUACUCUCAAUGUGCCUCGACUAUCGGAGAGAUUACUCUCAAUGUGCAAUGUGGCUCGACUAUUGGAGAGAUUACUUUCAAUGUGGCUUGACUAUCGGAGAGAUUACUCUCAAUGUGUCUCGACUAUCGGAGAGAUUACUCCAAUGUUCCCCGACUAUCGGAGAAAUUACUCUAAAUGUGUCUUGACUAUCAUAGAGAUUACUCUCAAUGUGCCUCGACUAUCGAAGAGAUUACUCUCAAUAUGCCCCGACUAUCGAAGGGAUUACUCUCAAUGUGCCUCGACUAUCAGAGAGAUUACUCUCAAUGUGCCCCGACUAUCAGAGAGAUUACGCUCAAGAGACUUAUAUGUCCACCUUAAGAUUGAAAAAUAUAGUUUUAUUUUAAGGACAAACCCACAAAGAGGCCAACUUAAGGUGCAAUAGGACUUAUAUGUCCACCUUAAGAUUGAAAAAUAUAUUUUUCUUUUAAGGACAAACCCACGAAAAUGCCAACUUAAGGUGCAAAGGGACUUAUAUGUCCACCUUAAGAUUGGAAAAUUAUAAAGCUUCAACUCGAAGACUUCGUGGACUUGACGAUGUUGACUUAAAUAUUUGGAAACUUUGAUGAUUUGACGGACUUUGCAGACUUAAACUUGAAGAGUGGCGAACGUGAAGACUUCAACUUGAAGACCGACAAACUUGAAGAUUUCAACUUGGAGACUUCAACUUGAAGACCGACGGACUUGAAGACUUCAACUUGGAGACUUGGAGGGUUUAAACAUUUCGACUUGAAGAGCGACAAACUUGAAGACCGGAGGACUUAAAGAUUUGGUGAACAUGAAGACAUAGUAAAUCCAUGGACUUCAAUGCAAAUACUUGGUAGCCUCUUAAAAGACUAUAAUCGCCUUAUUGAAGACAUUGGUUUAUCAUGAAGGCUUGCCCCCUCUAAGUCAUAUGAGAUCCAAAGUUCAAAAGAAGAAUGAAAUUUCAGCCUCAUUUUCAAGUGUUGUUUGAAUGAAUUACUUCCAUCAUAUUUCAUUUGGGACAACGACUUGGGCAAUAUGUAUCUUUUGAACUUAUGCGACUGAACUCAGAAUGAAACUCUAAGCUGCCUACGUACCUCGGUGAAGAGGAUCAAGUCAUACCGUAGUUCAUAAUGGGUG
rnacentral:lncRNA from 1 species